CAUAAAACAACCAGCCGACGGCCGGUUACACUUACUUAUUAAACCUAUACAAAAAGAAAUAAAUCAAUCAGCUGAAGCUGAAAAUCCAUAUUGUGUUUUAAGUGCUCGGCGCUCUUAAGUUUGUGGGACGAAGUUACCAAAAAUGAAGUUUAAAGUUGCUACAAUAUUCACGGCACAACAACGUUGUUUCUUCUUUGUUUACACUCCGAAAUCAAGUAUUGGGCAGAAAAGAAGUCUGCCUUGAAGAAGCUGUGCAACGGGCUCAGUCCAUGAGGCGCACUGGCGGUAGCUUAGAUAUGGUGCUAGGGCUGUCACUACUUUUUAUUUAUUUGUGGCAGUCAGUGGCAGUCAUGGGUGGUGGGUGACUCUCUUGCCACAGGUACCAGAGGAAUAGCUGUAGACCCCUUUCCACAAAGUAAUUCUCGCCCUUCUAUAUUAAUAGACCUGCCAUCCACAUCACAGGCUGCCACUGAAACCCUGGAAAUAGAGCAAGAAAUUCAUAUUCAUAAUCCACAGCCUCCUGUGGAGGCAGGGCUGCAGAUAGAACACAGCGAGCAGCAAGGCGAAAAAAGUUUUGUAGGCAUUAUAUGAUUCCAUACUAAUAUUUAUGAAGUUCUGUGUAGAUUUUUAAAUGUUAUUUAAAUAAUAAUUUAUUAAUUAUUACAAAUUAUAUUAGUGUUCUCUGUAUUUUAGGUCAAUAAAGAUUAUAAACAAUAAAUAUAUUUUUUUAAAUAAUGAU